rnacentral:rRNA from 1 species
UACGUAGGGUGCGAGCGUUAAUCGGAAUUACUGGGCGUAAAGCGUGCGCAGGCGGUUCGUUAAGUUCGAUGUGAAAGCCCCGGGCUCAACCUGGGAACUGCAUUGGAAACUGGCGAGCUUGAGUAUGGCAGAGGGGGGUGGAAUUCCGCGUGUAGCAGUGAAAUGCGUAGAGAUGCGGAGGAACACCGAUGGCGAAGGCAGCCCCUGGGCCAAUACUGACGCUCAGGCACGAAAGCGUGGGGAGCAAACAGG